UUUCUGGGUUGCUGGAUAAUAAAUGUAAUCAAUAAUUCCUGCCAAUGAUCCUGAUAUAUUUGACUUCAGGACGUCUCUGACUACAGACAUGCUGAAAAUCAAACAUUUUUACUUGGUUCAUUUAAAGAUUUUACAAAGUCAAAGUCCUUAGAAGUGUCUGAUUCAUCUUUUUGUCAACAAAAAG